UUAGAACAGUGCUUUGCACAUAGUAAGCGCUUAACAAAUACCACCAGUAUUAUUAUUACUAUUAUUGAAUUGGAUUGGGGGGCAAUGGAUAAGAGGGGAUUUCUUAGACUUUGGAUGAUCUUGCCAAAAAGAACUUUGCUACCCACUUGACUCCAUUCUUCCUAGCUGCAACGAUUGCUAAGGCUCCAAGGCAACAAGGCAUCUCUUCCUCCAAGUGAUGCCCAAGCCCCCCAGCCCUCGUGCCCAGGUUGACUGAUUGAUCCAGGGACCCUCUGCUUGAAUACUUACCACAACACGUGGAGCACUGGGAAAAUGCAUAGCAUCUCCAGCCUGCCGUCUCCAAGAAGUCAAACCACCGGAUUGAGACAGCAGCUGAGGAGUCUCAUUCCGAGGUCUUUCUGGAUCGCUGCAUGAAGAAUAUCAUUGGUCAGAUGUUCUCAGAAUUCCAUGUGGCUUCCAACUCCA